GACGAACCGUCCAAACGUUAUUCGGAAUUAUUGGGCUUAAAGGGUGCGUAGGCUGUGCAGUAAGUUGGGUGUGAAAUCCCUCGGCUCAACCGAGGAACUGCGCCGAAUACUGCUGUGCUAGAGGAAGAUAGGGGUAAGCGGAACUGAUGGUGGAGCGGUGAAAUGCGUUGAUAUCAUCAGGAACACCGGUGGCGAAGGCGGCUUACUGGAUCUUUUCUGACGCUGAUGCACGAAAGCUAGGGGAGCGAACGGGAGU
rnacentral:rRNA from 1 species